rnacentral:lncRNA from 1 species
CGUUUAAGGAAUUAUAUAUACCGUUUAUCAUGAGUGUUUGCCAGGUUUUGUUCUGACCAAGAUAUAUCUAGGUUUUGAACUACUUUCCUAAGGUAUUUAGGAAAAUACGGUUGCCCUGGUGUCAGUCCCUGCUGAAGAAGAAAGUAGAUGGCCGUGUGUGGAGGGGGUUGAAUUUUCAUGAGAGAAACCUAUUUCUGGCAAGCUGUACAGUCUGUCGCCCAAUCAUGUUCGAGAACCACUGUACUUGCUUUUCGUGUAAAUUUGUUUAAAAAUUUUUUUUAACUUUAUUUUAAAAUCUGAUUAAUAGCCAGGCGCAGUGGCAGUCUAAUAGUGCAGACAAAAACAAGACAACAACAAAUGAUUAUGAUUCCUAGAAUAAGCAAAGCUUUUGCCACCAAGUCUUCAAGAUCAAAACUAGCUGCUUAGCCAGUUGUUUAAAGAUGUGUUGGAUCUGAAAGGAACAUGGUCUGACUCUGUUGCCAAGGAUGGGCUGAGGUGGUGCCAUCUGGAUUCACUAUAGCUUCAGCCUCCAGGUCUCAAGUGAUCCUCCUGCCUCAGCCUCCCAAGUAGCUGGGACUACAGGUAUGUGCCACCAUGCCCAGCUAAUUUUUUAGUUUUUGUAGAGAUGGGGUCUCACUAUGUUGCCCAGGCUGGUCUCAAACUCCUGGGCUCAAGCAAUCCUCCCACCUCAGCCUUCCAAAAUGCUGGGAUUACAGGCAUGAGCCAUUGCACCUGGUUGGAUGACAAUUCUUUAGGUUUAUCUGUGUUCUUAUUUUAGGUUUGGAAAGAUGGUAUGACACUGUGAUGUAUAAUAAGAUAUGCAGUAUGUAUAGAUAGUCUUAGUCCCAGUAUUCUGGCACACAGCUCCUAAAACCCUGGGAAUCUCCAAAGUGAUAAAUGGUUUUUUGUAUGCUAAUGAAAUGACAGUGAUAAGUGGGUUUCUGCAUGCCAGAAGCUCCUGGAUAGCUUCAAGAUAGGGGCUCCUUGCCCAGGAACUAACCACGUGAUUAAAGAAUUCCGGCUUUCAGCCCCAACACCAACCUUGAAGGAGAGGAAAGGCUGAAGGUUGAACUUAUCACCAGUGACCAAUAAUUUAAUCAAUUCUGCCUACAUAAGGAAGCCUCUAUAAAAUCCCAAAAGAAAGGCAGAGGCGGGUGGAUCACUUGAGCCCAGGAGUUCAAGACAAGCCCGGGUAACAUGAUGAGACCCCGUCUCUACGAAAAAUACAAAAAUUGGCUGGGCGUCAUGGCGCACACCUGUUAGUCCCAGUUACUCAGGAGGCGGAGAGGGGAGGAUUGCGUGAGCCUGGGAGGCAGAGGUUUCAGUGAGCAGAGAUCAUGCCACUGCACUCCAGCCUGGGUGACAGAGUGAGAACCUGUCUCAAAAACAAAAACAAAGCCAAAGUCCAAAAGAAAAGGGUUUGGAUAGCUUCCAAAUUGCUGAACAGGUGGACAUGCCUAGAAGGUGGGGCACCCAGAAACGGUGUGGAAGCUCUGGACUUCUGCUGGCCUUUCCAUAUGCAUCUCUUCCAUCUGGCUGUUCAUCUGUAUACUUUAUUAUAUCCUUUAUUAAUAAACUGGAAAAUAUAAGUAAAGUGUUUCCCUGGGUUCAGUGAUCUGCUCUAAGCAAAUUAAUCAAACCUGAAGAGGUAGGCAUAGAGACCCCGAUUUACAGUGGGUUGGUCAAAAGUACAGGUCACAACCUGAAGCUUGUGAUUGGCAUCGGAAGUGGGAGGCAGUCUUGGAGGAUUGAACCAUUAAACUGUGGGAUCUGACGCUAUCUCCAAGUAAAUAGUGUUAGAAUUGAAUUAAAUUAUAGGACCCCCAGCUGAUGUCUGCUGGAGAAUUGCUUGGUGUGUGGGAAAAACCCCCAUGCAUCUGGUCACAGAAGCUUUCUGUGUUAU